AGCGAACGCUGGCGGCAGGCUUAACACAUGCAAGUCGAGCGGGCGUAGCAAUACGUCAGCGGCAGACGGGUGAGUAACGCGUGGGAACGUACCUUUUGGUUCGGAACAACACAGGGAAACUUGUGCUAAUACCGGAUAAGCCCUUACGGGAAAAGAUUUAUCGCCGAAAGAUCGGCCCGCGUCUGAUCAGCUAGUUGGUGAGGUAAUGGCUCACCAAGGCGACGAUCAGUAGCUGGUCUGAGAGGAUGAUCAGCCACAUUGGGGACUGAGACACGGCCCAAACUCCUACGGGAGGCAGCAGUGGGGAAUAUUGGACAAUGGGCGCAAGCCUGAUCCAGCCAUGCCGCGUGAGUGAUGAAGGCCCUAGGGUUGUAAAGCUCUUUUGUGCGGGAAGAU
rnacentral:rRNA from 1 species